AUUGUCACUACAGCAGUGUGUAGUGAUGUUAUAUUUUCUCAUCCAAUCUUAAUCAAGAGUCUGAUUAUCAAGACUACACCACCAAAGAGGUCUAUGUUUCCCCAGAAGGUGUGACUCACCGCUAAUAGUAGAGUAAUUCAUUGUUCUCCAACUUCUCUCCAAGAAAAUCUUCUUGGAAGUAAAGAUAACUUUCAUUCUCAUAGUCACAGUGAUGGAGUAAAGUACUAAUCACAAUUAGUUGCAGAAAGUUCAAGUAAAUUGUUAUUUGUGGACAACUACAAAGGCCCAAUUCGGUAAGAACAUAUUUCAUAUAAUAUUGUUUUGAUAUUUAACAUGGUAAAUGUAUUGUAGAAUUGAUAUUACUAUUUAAGAUAGUUUGAAUGUGUUUUGCUAGAAAAGAUGUUGUGUUUGUGUUAACAAAGUAUGGUGUUAGAUGUAUUCUGCAUAGUGUAGGAAAGUUGAUUUCUUUGUUGUACGAUUUGGAGGAAUAUGAGUUUAGUAUUAUGUUGAUAAAUCACAUAAUCUUGUAUUAUAAUAUGUUUCCAUAUAGAAGUGCUAAGAUGUAAAAGGCUUUUAGAUAGAAUGAAUUAGUUAGGCGUAAUUAUACAUAGAGCAAGAAGUCUAGUUUCAUUGGGAAACAAAGAGAGUCUGUUUUCUGGUUAAUCCAGUAGAAACAGGGUAUAUGAAUGAUUACUUUGGAAUGUGGCCCCUUUCACAUUCAUCCCUUUUUACUUUCUCUUUUGAGUAGAUAACUUACUGCACAUUGUAAAUGCAGGGUUUGUUCACAUUCGUAUUUUAAUCCAGUUUAACUUUAAUCUUAAGAUAGAAUAUGCUAUGUUGUUUUAUACUAAGCUGAGUUAGAGUAAUGCAAAGUAGUAGGAACUGUUAAGAGUUUGGUUUCUUAAUUUGUACUACUCACUUAAAAGAAUUACUUCUUUAGUUUCAUGGUUAAUGUGAUAAUGUAGAUUUCUGUUCGUACAUGACCAAUUUGUUAUUUAGGACAAAACCAUAACUUUCGUGGAGAGAAAGAACUUUCCUCUGGGAGUGAUUUAGGGAGAAACCUUGAAUGAGUGACUGUGUUGGCAUGUAGUUAUGUUCACACGGUUAAUGUCUAUUGGGUAGAAUACUUAGUAGUGCACUGCACUGAGUGAGUGUAGAUGUGUUCAUACGAGGAUUUAAUCACCAGAUUAACUUUAUUCCUUGUAUAUUUUGUACACUAUAAAUUUAGGUUAAUGUUAUUAGGUAUAAUAGUACAUGUGUAUGUUGAUCACUUAGUGUAAGAUUGAUUCUUAUUUAAUCUUAUAUAAUCGCAAUUGUUAUACUAACUUAGAUCUAGUAAUUGACUUGAUUUCAGGAUGAAACAUUUGUUUAUUAUUGUUUGUUUAUUCAUUAUCAUUACAGAUUGUUAUCUGAAGGUGCAGAGAAGUAAAAUUGAAAGUACGACUGAAGUUUGUCACCAGUGUUGGAGAUUAACUGAAUAAAGCGAAAGUUUGUUUUAUUUCAACAAGUCGAGUCCAGCAUUGAUUAAUUCUUCGUGCCUUGUGAAUAACAAUAGUUGGACAUAAGUAGACGAAACUCCUUCGUAGAAAGUUUUACGAAGGCAGUCACAAUAACAAUCGAAAGGACAACUUGUGUCGUCCAGUCAGGAUCACGUUCAGAAAGUUCUGGAAUUAUCCAAAUACACUACUUGAUACUUUACUGCUCAAAAGUUUUUCAUCAUGGCCAACAUCGAUGGAAAUAAUCUAGUCAGCGAGACUACACGUGUAGAUCUUCAGAGGACGUCCUCUUCGCUGCCAGAAAUGAUGGAUAAGUAUCCAAAACCAGCUAGGAGUCUAGCAAGCAGAAAGUCAGCCAAAAGCGAGAUGCUUAUGAAGGCCUUUCAAGCUGAACUUGAUGUUAUGGACAAAGAGGACAACAUAAAGAUUUUGCAAAGGGAGCAUGAGCAUACAAUGCAGCUGGAGAGGGCCCAGAUGGAGCUGAAGCGGUUGAAGCUACAGAAAGAACAUCAGCAGAGAUUAGCCGAACUUGCAGAAUCAGAAGAAGAGCUCUCAAACACCAGUAUCAAGUUGCCAGAGGAGACAAAGGAGGAGUCUGUUCAAAGAUUCUUUGAAUCUCAAUCGACGGAUGAGGGCAAGAUCCAGACCCCAGCCCCACCAGUUCCAGCAACUCUCAAUGAAGUGAAGCAUGAACCAACCAACGCUUCACCAGGGAUGGAAGACGUGGUUGAGUCGCUUGCCAAGGUAGCCAACAUGAUGAUGAACCAAAAUGCGACUAGUCAACAAGUAUUGGCAGCCAGUCAGUUACCAAAGGUGGAUGUCCCAGUAUUUAAUGGUGACCCAUUACGAUAUCCCCUCUGGAGAAAUGCAUUUUCGAGUUUUGUUGACUCCAAGCCUCUAGAUGCCGCAACCAAGCUUCAUAUGUUGCAUACAUAUGUUACUGGUGAACCAAAGAAAGUUGUGGAGCAUUAUCUUCUUCUUGGCACCGAUGAAGCCUACCUAAAAGCUAGGGAGUCUCUCGCCAGUAGGUAUGGCAACACCAGUGUAGUUUCAUCAGCGUUCAUGAAGAAGUUAAACUCAUGGCCGAGAAUCUCAGACCGGGAUCCAAGUGGAUUGCGGUCAUUUGCGGACUUUCUUCAGCAAGUCAGCGUUGCCAAGGUGACUGUUGAUUCCCUUGGCAUUCUAGAUUAUCCGCAGGAGAACGUCAAAUUGUUGAGGAAGGUUCCAUUCUACCUUGAACGCAAAUGGAGAGACGAGGUGACCAAGUGGCAGCGAUGUGGAUAUGGCAGUUACCCUACCUUUGCCAGAUUUGUAGACUUUGUCACCAGUGCAGCAGAAGUGGCCAAUAUUCCAGAGUUGGAAUACACCAGGAUAGAUGAGGCAAAGGUAAAGUCAACACCUCCGAAAGGGAAGACCUUUCAAGGUCGGUCACUGUCUACAACAGCCGCACAUGGGAAGGAGUAUUCCUCAUGUCCUUACUGUGAUAAGGACCAUCACAUCGAUGACUGCCCAGAGUUUAAGCAGAUCUACUACAAGGAUAAGAAGACAUUCUUCUUCAAGAAGUAUCUGUGUAUGGGAUGUGGCCAAAGUAGCAACCACCUCGUGAAGGACUGCAAGAAACGCCGGGAAUGUAAAAGGUGUAAAGGAAACCACCUGACCUGCCUACACCGACAGAAGGUAGAGAAAUCAUCGGCUAGCUCAAACUGUACCAACAUCUGCGAUCUUCCUGACCAAGAUGGAAAGGACCAUUGUAUGAUUGUUCCGGUUUGGGUGAGGCAGACUGAUGAUCCAUCGAGGGAAUCCCUGGAAUAUGCGAUCCUUGACGACCAGUCCAAUGUUGGAUUUGUCUCCAGUGGUCUUUGUGACAGAAUUGGUGUAAAAGGACCUGAGACUGAUCUUAUGCUGACAACGAUUCACGAGAGUGCUCGCAUUAGCUGUCAAAAGAUUAGUGGUCUUGAGGUCUUGGACUUUCAGAAGUCUACAGUUGUCCAACUCCCGUCCUGCUACACCAGACAAGAUGUUCCAGCCAAGCGAUCGCAAAUUUCCAAAGCAGAAGUACUGAGGAGGUGGAGGCAUCUUGCACCAAUCGCAGAUGAGUUGAUGCCAUACAACCCGUCAAUUAAGGUUUCCUUGCUCAUAGGAAACAACUGUCCUAGAGCGAUUCGACCCCGAGAAGUACUCGCUGGCGCAGAAGACGAUCCAUAUGCGAUGAAAACAUCACUCGGAUGGGGCGUCGUCGGCAGAGUAUGUCAGAAUUCUCAAAGUAAUGAUGCCGUCUGUAACAGGAUUCAGACAAGUGAAGGGUAUCCCCACCUGGUGCACUCAAGCCAAGCGAAGGAAGUGUUUACACCAGAGUCUGUACUGAAGAUCUUGGAACGUGACUUCCAAAUGACAAGUCCAAAAGGAGCUCCACUCUCAGUGAAAGAAGCAAGGUUCAUGACAAUCUUGGAGAAUGGAAUCCGCAAGAGAAGUGAUGGCCACUACCAAAUGCCCUUGCCUUUGAAGUCAGAUCAGGUGACCUUCCCUGACAACAAGAUUCUUGCUGUAAAAAGAUGGAGACAGCUAUCUGCAAGAUUCAGGAAGAACCAGAAGUUUCUGGAUGACUACAAGACCUUCAUGGAUGAUGUAAUCACCAACUACGCAGAACGAGUACCAGAUGAUUGCUUGAAGGUUCGAGAUGGCAGAGUAAACUAUAUUCCACACACAGGGGUGUACCAUCCACACAAGCCUGACAAGAUCCGUGUUGUAUUCGACUGUUCAGCAAAAUUUGAAGGAGUAUCCUUGAAUGAUCAUCUUUUGCAAGGUCCUGACCUGAUGAAUGGACUACUUGGUGUUCUGUGCCGAUUCCGAAAGGAAGAAGUUGCCUUCAUGGCUGAUGUGAAAGGAAUGUUUCUACAGUUCUACGUAAAUGAAGAUGACCGGAACUUGCUGCGGUUCCUGUGGUAUGAAGGUGGCGAUGAAACUAAGGAAGCUGUGGAAUACCGGAUGAAAGUUCAUCUCUUCGGAGCAGCUAGUUCUCCAGGAUGCAGUAACUUUGGACUGAGAAGGGCUGCAACAGAUGGCGAAGAAGAGUUCGGUUCUAGUGCAGCAGAGUUCAUUCGCAGAGACUUCUACGUAGAUGAUGGUCUUAGUUCACGACCUACUGCGGAAGAGGCUGUGCAGCUGCUGAAAAACAGUCAAGCAAUCUGUGCAAAGUCAGGAUUGAAAUUGCACAAGAUUGUUUCUAACAGCAGAGAAGUCCUAAAAAGCUUUCCAGCUGAGGAACGAGCAAAGAGCAUUCAAGACCUGGACUUGGAUGUCGACAAGCUUGUGCUGGAGAGAGUCCUAGGAGUGUCCUGGAACGUCGAGAAUGACACCUUCAACUUCAGAGUAAAGGUGAAGGCGAACUCAUUCUCCAGACGAGGUGUCCUAUCAACGAUCAGUUCAAUCUAUGAUCCAAGCGGUUUCCUAGGGCCAGUGGUUCUUAAGGGCAAGAGGGUUCUCCAAGCUAUGUGCAAGGAGAACAUGGACUGGGAUGAAUCUAUGACCGAUGAACAACGUUCAGAAUGGGAGAAAUGGCUGCUUGAUCUCCAGCAUCUAAGUGACCUCCAACUCGAAAGAUGCUACAAACCAAGUGGGUUCGGAAAGGUCAAGCGAGUUGAAGUCCACCAUUUCUCUGAUGCCAGUCAGGAUGGGUAUGGGCAAUGCUCAUAUCUCCGUCUCAUCAAUGAGGAUGACAAAGUGCAUUGUUCAUUCGUAAUCGGUAAGGCCCGAGUUACUCCAUUGAGACCAAUUACCAUUCCAAGACUGGAGCUAACAGCAGCAACAUUGUCAGCCAAGAGCAGCACAUUUCUGAAGUCGGAACUGGAAUACGAUACUGUGACGGAGUUCUUCUGGACUGACAGUAAGGUUGUUCUUGGAUACAUCAAAAAUGAAGCCAGGCGGUUUCAUAUCUUCGUUGCCAACAGAGUCCAGACAAUCCGAGAGCAGACUGACCCUGAUGCAUGGUACUAUGUAGAUACCAAUGAGAAUCCUGCUGACGGAGCUUCUCGAGGAAUCUCAGCAAAGGAGCUCACUUCUAGCCACUGUUGGUUUCGAGGCCCAGAUUUCCUGUGGAACGAUGGUUUGUUUGAACCCCCAGGAGAUGAUCCAUGUACGGUAGAUGACCACGACCCAGAGGUGAAGCAUGCCUCAGUCCUGAGAACAGAAACAACCACCAACGUCAGUACAGGGCAAUUCGAAUCCAACCGUUUGAAUUGCUUCUCCAGUUGGCACUCUGCCAAGAAGGCAGUUGCUAGAUGCAUACAGCUGAAGACGAGUCUGAAGAAAAGGGCUAGCCAGCAUGCCAGAACCAGGUCCAGAUCAGUAGAAGCAAUGAUCCCUCAGCUUGUGACAGUGAGUGAGCUGCAGGAAGCUGAGAAGGUCAUCAUUAGAGGUUUACAACAAGAAAACUUUCCGCAGGAGCUGCAGGUUCUGAAAGAACUAGAUAAGACAGGAGAAAUGAGUAGACAUGAAGUGCCUACUCGAAAUGCGGCACUGAAGAAAACCAGUGCCCUCUUCAGAUUAGACCCGUUUCUAGAUGAUGAUGGGGUGAUUCGAGUUGGCGGCCGGAUACAUCGCGCCAAUUUGUCCAGUAACAUUAGACAUCCAGUGAUAAUUCUUCGUAAGAGUCAUGUCACCACACUGCUGAUCCGAGACGCUCAUCACAGGACUCAACAUAGUGGUAGAGGUAUUACUCAUAAUGAGCUACGUCAGAGAGGAUACUGGGUGAUCGGAGGAGUGUCUGCAGUUUCUCAAUGCAUCUCGUCCUGUGUGACAUGUCGAAGAUUGAGAGGACAGCCGCUCCAACAAAAGAUGGCAGAUCUUCCAGAAGAAAGAGUUGAGCCUUCUCCACCAUUCUCGUAUUGUGCAGUGGACUAUUUUGGGCCCUUCCUUAUCAAGGAAAGACGGAGUGAAGUAAAGAGAUAUGGUGUGCUCUUCACAUGCCUGUCUUCAAGAAGUGUACACCUGGAAACUGCCAACAGUCUCAGUAGCAGUGCAUUCAUCAACGCUUUGCGGCGUUUCAUGAAUCGACGGGGUGCUGUAAGGCAGCUACGCUCUGACCAGGGUACAGCAUUCGUUGGAGCCAGAAACGAGUUGAAGGAAGCACUGUCGGAAAUGGACCAGGAAAAGGUACAGGAGUACCUGCUUGAGAAUGGUUGUGACUGGAUACCAUUCAAGAUGAAUGUGCCCCAUGCCUCUCAUAUGGGUGGAGUUUGGGAGAGGCAGAUCCAGUCAGUGCGACGUGCACUGGAGCCAUUGCUGAAAUCAUCUGGAAGUCAACUUGAUGAUGAGGCCUUCAGAACCUUCAUGACUGAAGCAGAAGCCAUAAUCAACUCCAGGCCCUUGACGACAACCAAUCUAAGUGACAGUGAAGCACCAGAACCACUGACCCCUCACCAUAUCUUGACUGCCAAGCCCAAAGUCAUAUUACCCCCACCAGGAGUCUUCCAGCGCGAAGAUGUUUACUCUAGGAAGUGGUGGAGACGCGUCCAACAUCUCGCCAAUGAGUUCUGGCUUCGAUGGAGGAAAGAAUAUUUGCAGGGACUGCAAGAGCGUAGAAAAUGGACAAGUAUAGAAAAGGACUUAAUGAUAGGUGAUAUUGUAAUCUCCAAAGAAGAAGAGGGAGGACGAUACAAGUGGCCCUUAGCAAGGGUGAUAGAUGUCUAUCCUAGUGCUGAUGGUAGAAUUCGGAAAGUGAAACUUCUAAUGGCUGAUGGACAGUUAGAUAACAAUGGCAAACGCCAGAACCCACCAACUAAAUUUGACAGACCAGUAAAUAAGUUAGUUCUUCUGUUACCAAAUCAACAAUAAUUAUUCCCACUCAAAAUCCACAGUAGUAAAGUGGAAGUAUCUCAUUUGUCUCGCGAAAGACUCGAAGCAUUCCCCCUCAAAGAGCCGUUAUCUUUUAUUUUCAUUUAUCGAUGAUUUAAACGAUGCGUUUAAAGUACUGUUUUUAUUUUCAUGUAUGUUUCAGUGAUAAUUCUAAAGGCUAGAAUGCUGUUUUUAAAGGUUACGUUGUGUGUAUCUUAGACUAUGUAUCCAUGAGGUAUAGUAUUAGUCAAAGUAUUCUUUAAGAUGAAUUUGUUAUGAUGUUGUAUAAUUUGUUGUAUUUUAUAUUCGUAAUAAUUGUUGCUAAUUGAGUAAAUGUAGGUACAUUUAAAGGAGCCAUGUCACUACAGCAGUGUGUAGUGAUGUUAUAUUUUCUCAUCCAAUCUUAAUCAAGAGUCUGAUUAUCAAGACUACACCACCAAAGAGGUGUAUGUUUCCCCAGAAGGUGUGACUCACCGCUAAUAGUAGAGUAAUUCAUUGUUCUCCAACUUCUCUCCAAGAAAAUCUUCUUGGAAGUAAAGAUAACUUUCAUUCUCAUAGUCACAGUGAUGGAGUAAAGUACUAAUCACAAUUAGUUGCAGAAAGUUCAAGUAAAUUGUUAUUUGUGGACAACUACAAAGGCCCAAUUCGAUUGUUAUCUGAAGGUGCAGAGAAGUAAAAUUGAAAGUACGACUGAAGUUUGUCACCAGUGUUGGAGAUUAACUGAAUAAAGCGAAAGUUUGUUUUAUUUCAACAAGUCGAGUCCAGCAUUGAUUAAUUCUUCGUGCCUUGUGAAUAACAAUAGUUGGACAUAAGUAGACGAAACUCCUUCGUAGAAAGUUUUACGAAGGCAGUCACAUUGA